GUGCGCAGGCGGUUGUGCAAGACCGAUGUGAAAUCCCCGAGCUUAACUUGGGAAUUGCAUUGGUGACUGCACGGCUAGAGUGUGUCAGAGGGGGGUAGAAUUCCACGUGUAGCAGUGAAAUGCGUAGAGAUGUGGAGGAAUACCGAUGGCGAAGGCAGCCCCCUGGGAUAACACUGACGCUCAUGCACGAAAGCGUGGGGAGCAAACAGGAUUAGAUACCCUGGUAGUCCACGCCCUAAACGAUGUCAACUAGUUGUUGGGGAUUCAUUUCCUUAGUAACGUAGCUAACGCGUGAAGUUGACCGCCUGGGGAGUACGGUCGCAAGAUUAAAACUCAAAGGAAUUGACGGGGACCCGCACAAGCGGUGGAUGAUGUGGAUUAAUUCGAUGCAACGCGAAAAACCUUACCUACCCUUGACAUGCCACUAACGAAGCAGAGAUGCAUUAGGUGCUCGAAAGAGAAAGUGGACACAGGUGCUGCAUGGCUGUCGUCGGCUCGUGUCGUGAGAUGUUGGGUUAAGUCCCGCAACGAGCGCAACCCUUGUCUCUAGUUGCUACGAAAGGGCACUCUAGAGAGACUGCCGGUGACAAACCGGAGGAAGGUGGGGAUGACGUCAAGUCCUCAUGGCCCUUAUGGGUAGGGCUUCACACGUCAUACAAUGGUGCAUACAGAGGGUUGCCAAGCCGCGAGGUGGAGCUAAUCCCAGAAAAUGCAUCGCAGUCCGGAUCGUAGUCUGCAACUCGACUACGUGAAGCUGGAAUC
rnacentral:rRNA from 1 species